ACCCACCCCAGUAUUGUUGCCUGGAGAAUCCCAUGGACAGAGGAGCCUGGCGGGCUACAGUCCAUGGGGUCGCAAAGAGUUGGACACGACUGAGCACCUGAGCACACACAGACAUGCACACCACUUAACCUGCCUACCUGAGAUAAUGCUCCAAAAAUAGACCUCAAGUAUAACUUUAACCUUGAGAAAUAAGUGAAAAAUAAAAACUCGUCUAGCUUCCUGUCGGCGACCAGAAUCUCAAGGGGGAAGACAGACAGCUCUAUGAUCUGGCGAAAGCUUGAGGGCGCGCGUGGCAGAGGCCACCACUGCCAGGAAGCACCCCCCUGCCUCCAGGAGGGCCCGGCCUUAGAAAGCAAGCCUGCCUGGAGACCUUCCUGUCUGCGGGCUCCUCUCUGCAGAAGCUUGCGAGCUCCUGGCUCUGUGCUCUGAGGCCUCGUCGCCAGAAGCCAGGACACCCUCCCGUUUGUGCAUCCCGGGAGGAUGUGCCAGCCUCAGUCCCCGAGGACUUCACCCCCAGGGGCUUUGCCGGGACCAGGGACAGGGCCCAGACCAGCAGCCGGCACUCCCUGCUUCACUCAUAGAAGAACCCGAAGUUGUCCGUCUGCGCAGUUUGGGGACAUCGCUCAGAGACUCUGUUGCUGCCGGUUGAGGGGUUCCCCGUGGCCCGCCUCCGGCUGUGGCCCUGGGGCUGAGGGUGCACGGCCGCCUGCCUGCCCGCUGCCUGGGAAGUGCCCGCCUCUGCAGGGAGGAUGUGCGGUGUCCAGCUGACUUCCCCUCGACGGAAGGAGUGACGUGGCUUGCUGUCGUCUCGGAUGAGCACAGAGUUGUGCCUGCCAGGCCCAGAGUGGCUGCUGCCUGGCUCUCCGUCCAGGAGGAAUCCACCACUUCACCGGCUGCCUGGGGCGACAGCAGAAGACACCACGGGCAGGGCGUGUGGGCAAGUGGUCUCUCGGAAUCUCUCGGAACUCAUGUGUCCCCCGGUCUCGUGGGGCGGCCAUGUGUGGUCACGUGACCCGUGCAUCCUUCAGGCAAUCUCUCCCCAGGACCAGAGGCUGCCUCUGCCCUGGCCAUGCUCAGAGCCUUCGAUACAGCCUCCUCCUCCAAAAGGGCAAAGCGGUGCUGCUCAGGGAGCCAUCGGGGGCCACGGCCUGUGAGCAGCGUCUGGACUGAGGGCCAGGCCGGAGGGCUAGCCGGGCCAUGGCCCCCUAGCAGGUCCUGGUGCCCAGUCACUCCCCCGGAGCCUGGCUGCUAACUGUGGGCCUGGGCUUUAGGUUGUGUGUUUGUUUUCUAACUUGGACAGUUUGUAGUCAGAGGAAUUCAAGAGCAGAUUUAUUCCAGUGCACUUGAAUAAUGCAACUGAACAUAUUACUCACAUCCCUGAACAAAGGAGGCGGCGCCCCCCCGGGGAAAGCCGCCUGUGUCCUGCGGCAGCGGACUUCUUCACCGUGCAGACUGGACUUGCUGCCGGUCGCUGGGCCUGGCUGGGGCUUACCUGGACCGGUGGCCGAUUUCCAGAGCUGUUUCUUUCAUACUGAGCAUCUCCACUAGUGCCGUGUGGCAGAUAAAAGCUUGAGCUCGGCCGCGGGAAUAUUCCCAAAGACUCUGCCGUUCAUGUAGGUCUGUGGACGGGCGCCUCUGGGUGUGGACAGUGAGCGCUCGAGGCCGGCGAGCCCGUCCACGGCCCUGCGGUCACAGAGUGAGAAGGGCAUUUGUGAGGCAGCCUGGUCUUCCUGUGCCUGUUUUCUCUAUUUUACCCCUGGAGGAUGUCUGUCCUGUGUCUGCAGCGUGACUUAGAGUGACUCGAUGGUGGCAUCUGAGACAGCAGGGGAUGUGGGGCACCUCUGGGUCCCUCUGAGAGCCCUCCACAAACAGCCCGCGGCCGGUCCAGAGGGGGCUGGACCCUGAUGCUGUCGAAUCCACUGUGCCUGAAAGAGGGGUGGGUUCCAAUCCCCUGUGACUGGUUAAGAAACCCCACUGGGCUGUGCCCAAGGCCCUCUGCCAGCCGAGGGGCCAGGCCCGAAGGGUGUCUGAGCUGCAGACACCCCUCUUCCGUCAUAAGUCAUCCUGGGGUUCCCAACUGGAGAUCCGGGCUCAGGUUAUCUUGGCUGGGUCCAGGUCGGCAGACAGCUCCUGCUGACGUCCUAGGAAGCAGAGGCGGAGGCUGCCCUCAACCUUUCCCGGAUCUGGACAGACAGGCUGCCCGCCUGAGGGCUUGCUUCAGCCAAAACCCAGAAGGCGCCUCGUCAUUUUGCAGUAAACAAUGAUGCACCUUUUACUGCAUUUAUAAAUGUCCCCAGAGGCUAUUACUCAAAAGGGGUUCAGCUAAUAAAUACAGAACUAAUAAUUA